CAACUUAUUACGUCGAUUCCAGUUUUCGGUGCGGGAUCCCGCGGAACUAAUGAUCGAUUGCCUCCUCCAGACUGCGCUCUAGCCAAAGACAAACGUAUUGAUUAUGAACAUUGUUAGUGGCCACUGGUUGAAGAAGUAUGGAAGCAUAUACCGGAUAUGGUUCACCCUACGCCCUGUGAUACUCCUUACCGCACCCGAGUUAUUAGAACCCAUUUUGGGAACAUACAAAUUCAUUAUGAAACCGGGCGAGUAUGAUAUCUUCACUCCUUUUUUUGGAAAAGGAUUGCCUGUGGCAUUAAGUGAGAACUGAAAUAUCACAUUUCAUAAAUGACUUUCAUUUGGCAUCUUUUUAUGUACAGAUGAGCGGUGGAAGAAAAAUCGUCGACUCAUCAAUCCAGCAAUUCACUUUCAGAUUCUCAACACAUUCAUGGGAGCCAUUAACGACAAAAGCAAAGAGUGUGUAAAAGAAUUUGAAGAUGCUCUUGAGACCAACAAAGGUGGGGAGAUUGACGUCUUCCCUAUAAUGUCACGAUGCACUCUCGAUAUUAUAUGUGCUACAUUUAUGGGAAGAAAAACAUUGAAAAACGAAGAAAAGUCACUUUUUCUUGACAACCUUGCCGAAUUUGAAAGAAUUUUCCAACAACGCAUUGUUAAACCCUGGGUUAGAAUGAAUUGGUUUUUCAAAUUAACCUCGCCGGGUCGCGGAAAUGCGCGUUGCGUUAAAGGACUUCACGAGUUCUGCAAUACGGUUAUUUUAAAUUCAAAAUUCAAAUGCCUUUAUUAGCGCCUAUACUUGGACUUGUACAAAUGAAACGCUCUUGAAAUUUUUUUAUUUAUGUCGAAAAAGAUUAUCAACGAUCGUCGUGAAUUAUUGAAACGAGACGAGGAGUUAGCAGAUAAAUCAACACGUGAUAUGGAAAAGGUAAAUAACAACAACUCAAUAGAAGCUGAAGAUGGUGAAAUGCAGGGACACGAUGACGAACCAAAAAAGAAAUAGCCCUUCCUGGAUAUGCUCAUUAAAGACUUGGGGAAAGAUCAUUUUAGUGACAGUGACAUAAAAGACGAAGUCAGUGCAUUCUUAGGCGCGAGUCAAACAACGUCUUUGGCUUUUACCUGGUUCCUCUACAUGAUUGCAAAGAAUCGUGAUCACCAAGUA